rnacentral:rRNA from 1 species
GAUGAACGCUGGCGGCGUGCCUAAUACAUGCAAGUCGAGCGAACAGAUAAGGAGCUUGCUCCUUUGACGUUAGCGGCGGACGGGUGAGUAACACGUGGGUAACCUACCUAUAAGACUGGGAUAACUUCGGGAAACCGGAGCUAAUACCGGAUAACAUUUGGAACCGCAUGGUUCUAAAGUGAAAGAUGGUUUUGCUAUCACUUAUAGAUGGACCCGCGCCGUAUUAGCUAGUUGGUAAGGUAACGGCUUACCAAGGCAACGAUACGUAGCCGACCUGAGAGGGUGAUCGGCCAAACUGGAACUGAGACACGGUCCAGACUCCUACGGGAGGCAGCAGUAGGGAAUCUUCCGCAAUGGGCGAAAGCCUGACGGAGCAACGCCGCGUGAGUGAUGAAGGGUUUCGGCUCGUAAAACUCUGUUAUUAGGGAAGAACAAACGUGUAAGUAACUGUGCACGUCUUGACGGUACCUAAUCAGAAAGCCACGGCUAACUACGUG